rnacentral:misc_RNA from 1 species
AAAAUAAUCCUACCCUUUGUGAAUUUUGUUUGUUUGAAUAAUUUUUUUUUUUUAAAAAAUUAUUGGAGUCUUUCCCUUUAGAGUUUGCUUUUGAGUUUGUAAAGAAUUCGAAAACAUCUAAAGGGGAUGGUCAAUAAUUUUUUUUGAAAAAAGACAUUUUUUAAAAUUAAACUUUUUGUAUUCAUUUGUCUAAAAAUUAUUUUUAUAAUAUAAAAACAACUUUUGACAAUGGAUCUCUUGGUUCUCGCAACGAUGAAGAACGCAACAAAAUGCGAUAAGUAGUGUGAAUUGCAGAAUACGUGAAUCAUCGAAUCUUUGAACGCAUAUUGCACUUUUUUAGUUUACUAAAAAAGUAUGUCUGUUUGAGUAUCAGUAAAAUAUUCUCAUAAAAAUCAUUGUAUUUUUAUGGUUAUGAGUGUUUUACAACGAUACAAGUUGUUUCACUUUAAAUUUUUUUUUAAUAUUGAAAUUUUCUAAUUUUAAUAAUUAAAAUUGGAUAAAAUUUUCCCGUCAAAAGGAAUAACCUAAACAAUUUUAAAUGAUUAACUUUAGCAAAAUUUUCGAAAAAAGGAAAAUUUUUAUUAAAAUAACUUGAUCUCAAAUCAGAUAAGAGUACCCGCUGAACUUAAGCAUAUCAAUAAGCGGAGGAAAAGAAACUAACAAGGAUUCCCUUAGUAACGGCGAGUGAAGCGGGAAGAGCUCAAAUUUGAAAUCUUCAAGGUUUUACCUUGACGAAUUGUAGUUUAAAGAAGUGUUUUCUGCUGAAGUUUUGGUAAAAGUUCUUUGGAAUAGGACAUCAUAGAGGGUGAGAAUCCCGUAUUUGACCAUUAUUUUCAGCUUUGUGAUACACUUUCAAAGAGUCGGAUUGUUUGGGAAUGCAGUCCAAAAUGGGUGGUAAAUUUCAUCUAAAGCUAAAUAUUGGCGAGAGACCGAUAGCGAACAAGUACCGUGAGGGAAAGAUGAAAAGAACUUUGAAAAGAGAGUUAAACAGUACGUGAAAUUGUCAAAAGGGAAGCGUUUGACACCAGUGUUGUUUUCUCGAAAAUCAAUUAAAAAUGGCUCGAUUUUGUAUUGCUGAGACCUUAAAAGCUCACUGUACAUUUUUCGUGUCUUUUUUAAUGCACUUUUCGUUUAACAAGUCUACAUCAGUUUCUUUUGUUGUAAAAGGGUCAUUGGAAGGUGGCUUUCUUUUCGGAGAAAGUGUUUAUAGCCUUUGGCCUCUGCAAUCGAAGAGACUGAGGUCUGC